ACCCUGAAAUAAUUCAAAAAACUAAAAAGAAAACAAAACAAACUACCAGACCUCUUCCUAGUAGGGAGAGGGGUGACUUCUCAAUUGCUCAACCUGACAAAUUAACCAGUGGUUUGCAUAUUAGCAUGACUAGAGCUUUCCUCACUGUCAAUGUUCUGCACCAUAACUGAUUUAUCUCGGAUUAUCUUUUCAAUUUCUCUUUUCAAAACACGACAAUCUUCAAUACUGUGACCCUGAACAUCAGAAUGAUAUGCAUAUUGUACAUUAGGAUCAAAACUUCUUAAAUGCGGGUCAGGAGUAUACCCAAGGAGAGAAGUAAUCAUACCCCACUGUUUCUAUCUCUGGAAUAAACUGGCGUACAACUUUCCAAUUGGUGUGAAACUAUCCCUCAAUUUCUGCCUCAUUUCAUUGCUUGACUUGGAUCGAACAUCGGGCCUAGAAGGGUUUUGGUAUGUUUGUGAAAUUGGAGGAUGACUUUAAGGAGUUGGUGCGCGUCAUUGUGGAUAAGGAGGGAGUUGAACAUAUGGUUGUGCGCAAUAUACUAGAUAUGGAGAUGGGGACACUGAGUAUAAUGGAUUUUGGAAGUGAUUGUGGAGAGCUUGGGUAUGAACUUGGGCUUGAGAUUGAUGGCAACGACGACAUCGUCUUCUUGGAUGUGCUCGUUCUCCAACUACAAUAGCAAUGUCAUUUUUCUCUUUCUUCUUCCCUCUAGUUUCCCUUAAUUGAUUGCAAUAUUGUUCCAAAUGCUUCACAGAUUCCUCAUGCCCAUCUUGCUCCUCAAAUUUCGAUAUCUCGAGGAUUGCAGGAAGGUUAGCACUUGAAGAAAUGCCCCAGUCUUUGUAGGAAACAUCUUCUUUAUCCGUAGGUCCUACAGAAUUUUUCAUAGCAUUUUUUGUCCUCUUCCUUUUUCCAAUUAUUUUUUUCGACUCUUCUGACACUCUGGACUUUUUGUUAAGAAAUUUUGGUGGUCCAGUUAAAUUAAAAGCAGGCUCAGGAGUACAACAAUGAUCACCAAGAGUAUUGAAUAUGGGUUCACUAGCAGCAUGGGGAUGCACAACCGUUGGGCGAGCCAGUGUGGAAGUCCCAAUAGAGGAUUGAGCAACAAGAUCACAAACGACAUGUGGUAUUGUGAAUGUAGCAGUCUUAUGCUGAGGAUCUAGAGAAAAAUUGGUCGAAGUAUUAAGAUGCUUUUGGCUUGGAAUAAAUUCUGAGUCAUGUUGUGGUGUAUCAACAACAGUAGAAAACUGACUUUGCGAUUUUUCAAAACCUUUUUUUCCUGUUAAAAGAUCACCGAACCCAAGAAGGGAGCCUACGUAUCUCACUCUGGAGAGAAGAGAAUCGGGUGUGCGUAGUUCGUGAAACUUUGCUAAAAU
rnacentral:lncRNA from 1 species